AUGAACUUUCAGAACCACUAUUUCAUCAUCAUCAUCAUCAACUCAAGUCUUCAACUUGCUUUAACAUGUGAUCUACACAUAAUUGCACCUUCAUUAUGCAUCAACAACAAAUUGCAUCACAAAUUCUUCACAACAUACCACACAAAUAGAGGAAAAAUCUCAGGGAUUGAUUUCACGGAGAAAAAACCAAGAAGAUUCAUAGAGGGAGGGAGGAUGAAACAUUCCACCAAAAACGAUUCAUUCUCACAAACUCACCAGGAAAUAUCUUCAACCCUGAAUCUGCAAGAUUCUUCACGCAUCUUCAUCUAUCACCUACUGCAACCUUCAUCAUCUCAUACUUCAAUCUUCAAUCAAAUCUGCAACAUCACACACACUUUUUACGACAACCUUGUCUUCCUCAACCUUCGACAAUCCUGA